GGCAAUACCAUGAUAGUCAAUCUGCUAAUAGAUGACUACUAAGUAACCAACGAACAGGUAGCUUAUACAGCAUGGGCACGCUGAACAAAGGGGAGUGUCAUGUUUCAGACUAUGGUUGGUCACAGGUAACGGAAGCUGUGGAGAGUGAAACCACAGAUAGGGGAGGAGCCUAUACAGCAAAAGGUCUCUGCAUCAAGUAUAUCUCCUCUGUGAAUUCUUCUCUGAUCUACAACAUUGAAAUGAAUGGUUCACAUUUUCUCCUGCCAAACUUUGGGAGCCUGGUAAAUGUCAAGUUUCUGCUGGAUGUCAGGGCUUGCUUGGUGGGCAAGACUAGUGUGGUUCUUGUCCACAUGGAGCUAAUGUUCUCACAGGGAAAUGUAUACUCAGCAAAUAGUUACUUAAUUAAUAUGUGACCAUAGGUUCUAGCACUCUGCUAUCAGGAGCCAGAACAGCAGAAAUGGCUGGUGGGAGUGCUAACUGAAUUUGUGGGCUUUGAAGGCACUGCCUAGGGAGUACUGUAGUAAUUACAUUGUCUGCCAUUUACUGAGUGCCCGCUAUGUGCCUGACCCACAACACACACUGCGUGUACUGCCGUGAUCAUCUUUCACUCCUGUUUUACAGAUGAUAAAUGGAGUCUCAAAAACACUACAUAAUUUCUUUAAGGCAUUCAUCUAAAGAAAAUGUGACAAUUCAUGAACCCAUUUUUUUUUCUUGGCUGAAAGACUUUUCCUGUUCUUAUUUUACCAUGCAGAGACCUAGGGCAGGACAUGGAGGGCCCCUCUACCAGGAGAAGGGUGUAGGAGAAAGGGAAUGGGACUAUAAAAGCUAUUGC